rnacentral:tRNA from 1 species
ACUGAAAUAUCUCAGUUGGUAGAGCAUCAGACUAUAAACCGAAAGGUCCUUGGUUCAAUCCCGGGUUCCGGCA